rnacentral:rRNA from 1 species
CCUACGGGUGGCUGCAGUGAGGAAUAUUGGUCAAUGGCCGAGAGGCUGAACCAGCCAAGUCGCGUGAGGGAAGACGGCCCUACGGGUUGUAAACCUCUUUUGUCGGGGAGCAAAGCGAGUCACGUGUGACUCAUUGCGAGUACCCGAAGAAAAAGCAUCGGCUAACUCCGUGCCAGCAGCCGCGGUAAUACGGAGGAUGCGAGCGUUAUCCGGUUUUAUUGGGUUUAAAGGGUGCGCAGGCGGGGGUGCAAGUCAGCGGUCAAAUUGCGGGGCUCAACCCCGUACUGCCGUUGAAACUGCAGCCCUUGAGUGCGCGAGAAGUAUGCGGAAUGCGUGGUGUAGCGGUGAAAUGCAUAGAUAUCACGCAGAACUCCGAUUGCGAAGGCAGCAUACCGGCGCCCGACUGACGCUGAGGCACGAAAGCGUGGGGAUCGAACAGGAUUAGAUACCCUUGUAGUC